UACGUAGGAGGCGAGCGUUGUCCGGAAUUACUGGGCGUAAAGCGUGCGCAGGCGGUUUUGUAAGUCUGUCGUGAAAUCCCCGGGCUCAACCUGGGAAUUGCGAUGGAGACUGCAAGGCUGGAGUCUGGCAGAGGGGGGUAGAAUUCCACGUGUAGCAGUGAAAUGCGUAGAGAUGUGGAGGAACACCGAUGGCGAAGGCAGCCCCCUGGGUCAAGACUGACGCUCAUGCACGAAAGCGUGGGGAGCAAACAGG
rnacentral:rRNA from 1 species